rnacentral:rRNA from 1 species
ACGGGUGAGUAAUGUCUGGGAAACUGCCUGAUGAGGGGAUAACUACUGGAAACGGUAGCUAAUACCGCAUAACGUCGCAAGACCAAAGAGGGGGACCUUCGGGCCUCUUGCCAUCGGAUGUGCCCAGAUGGGAUUAGCUAGUAGGUGGGGUAAAGGCUCACCUAGGCGACGAUCCCUAGCUGGUCUGAGAGGAUGACCAGCCACACUGGAACUGAGACACGGUCCAGACUCCUACGGGAGGCAGCAUG